UACGUAGGGGGCGAGCGUUGUCCGGAUUUAUUGGGCGUAAAGAGCGUGUAGGCGGCCAGGUAGGUCUGCUGUGAAAACUCGAGGCUCAACCUCGAGACGUCGGCGGAAACCAUCUGGCUAGAGUCCGGAAGAGGAGAGUGGAAUUCCUGGUGUAGCGGUGAAAUGCGCAGAUAUCAGGAGGAACACCAAUAGCGAAGGCAGCUCGCUGGGACGGUACUGACGCUAAGGCGCGAAAGCGUGGGGAGCGAACAGG
rnacentral:rRNA from 1 species